UAUGGUUCUUUCCAACACUACAAAUAUUUCUUCAACAGCCGCAGUUAGUCGCUGAUUCACCAACGCUCUCAGCAUUUGGACUUGACACAUUUUCACACGAUCCCACUUAGCGCGUGUUGCUAACUUGUUAGCAGCUAGCAAGCGAAGCUAGGCUAGCUGAAAGAGUUGCUUCGGUGUCCGUUGAAUCAACAACAUCGUAAUGUGCGCUAGGAUGAGAAUAAAUUGGUUAGCAUUCAUCUAAAAAACCCGAGUGGUUACGGUACCCACUUUAGCUACCCGGCUAAGGCCAUGUCGCAAAUAGACGUGUUCCGCUGUGACGUCACGCCACUUCCGCCCAAUCAUUCCCGGUAUGCGCAUUUACUUCCGCUCCCCAAAUCGACCAAUGGAAUACAAUGUAAACAAAUGCCAACGGCGGGUAAAGCGACAAUAUUCUUGUUUAUAAUGACUUCGGUGUUGCUAAUUAUCUGCUAAUUAUUAUUUUCCCCUCAAGCGUGACAAAUGGAUGACAUGAAGACUUCGAUGAGUUCAUUCGUGGGAAGCGUUAGAAACCCGGCAGGAUUCCAUGCAGCUAAGUUUGUUGACUUUCCUUUUAAAGGUUAUUUUGUGUCGGCCGAUAUCAUCACUUUGCCCAUUUGACUCGAUAAUCGAAUGUAUUGAUAAUCCGAUGUAUUAUUAUUAUUAUUAUUAAUGUACUGCAGGGUUUACUUGAUGCCACGUCAUUUACACUCCCAUGCUAUGCUCCCUCUGUGUACUAUAAUGGGUCCCACACGCCCAUCUUCACAAAAACACUUAUUGUGGACCUGGGAGCAUCAGGCCUCUGGAGCGCCCCUAGUGGCGGAGGGGAAACGUGCAACAGCCGUCAGUGAUUCAGUUCUCGUCCAAAGCUUUCAAACCACCAGACGUUAGGACUGUGUACGUUAUGGAAAUGCAGGUACGCUUUGCUAAUCCGGACAAAUAAAGUUUCCUUUGAAUCCAAACAAAACCAAACAAAAGUCAGAAUCAACCAGUCUGGCAGUUUUUGGAUUUUCCUCCAACUUCUGCAGUUCUUACUGCUGCUGUCCUCCGCCUGGCGGAAAUGUUCCUUUGUUGGAAUAAUUGUACAUAAAGUUAUCCUAUUUUUACUAUAUUCUUAUGACCUAUUUUUACUAUAUUCUUAUGACCUAUUUUUCUUAUGACCUACAAACAUUUCGUAUCACCCACAUAACAAAGUAAGAUUAACUCUGUACAUGUGUUUCAUAUCACUCACAUAACAAUGUAAGAUUAAUGCUGUGACGCCUGCACUUGUGGUGUACAUCAUGAUUAAGGGAAAACAGAACAUGACAGAACAUUCCUUAGCAGAUAGUUUUAACACCCUCAGGGGACAUAGGCACGGGUCAGAAGUAGAUAUGACCUCAAAGGGUAUGUGUGUGUGUCCGGAGAAUCACAUGCCAAGGAUGAGAUAUCUACACAUAUGGAUAACAUGUUGUGCAAAGAAACUGGUUUUAACUAGAAUGAUUAAACCCCCCUUCCCUCAGCUAUUUGAUUGUACAGGGCCUCCCUUCAAUAAAAAGGCAAGAGGGCAGGAACUGCUUCAGAGUGAGGUGGCGAAUUGUUACUGAACGGUUCCUGAUCACUCUCCUUGCAAGUAAAAAGAAACUCAUCUCUCUGCGUCUUCCUUUGUACAGGCAGUGUUUUUCUACAAGUGUCGGGGUUUAAACCUGACAUUUUAUUGGUCCUUCGAGCCGGAUUCCAAGACACCUGACGAUCCCAGCGGGCAAGCGAGAUCCAGGCAAGACUGUGGCCACAGCAUUAAUACCCUUUCCGGGACUGGUCCCUCUCUUGCGGGCUGGGAUCCGACGGUUGAAGGAAAUCCAGAGACGCAGAGAUUGUGAGUACAAAUUUUGUUUAAAAGGAAUGGAUGUGUCAAAAAAGUAAAAUAGACAAUAAAAGAACUUUAAAGAGAGGGUUCUAAAGAAAACAGACAAA